GUACUGCAAGUCGAGCGAACGGACGAGAAGCUUGCUUCUCUGAUGUUAGCGGCGGACGGGUGAGUAACACGUGGAUAACCUACCUAUAAGACUGGGAUAACUUCGGGAAACCGGAGCUAAUACCGGAUAAUAUUUUGAACCGCAUGGUUCAAAAGUGAAAGACGGUCUUGCUGUCACUUAUAGAUGGAUCCGCGCUGCAUUAGCUAGUUGGUAAGGUAACAGCUUACCAAGGCAACGAUGCAUAGCCGACCUGAGAGGGUGAUCGGCCACACUGGAACUGAGACACGGUCCAGACUCCUACGGGAGGCAGCAGUAGGGAAUCUUCCGCAAUGGGCGAAAGCCUGACGGAGCAACGCCGCGUGAGUGAUGAAGGUCUUCGGAUCGUAAAACUCUGUUAUUAGGGAAGAACAUAUGUGUAAGUAACUGUGCACAUCUUGACGGUACCUAAUCAGAAAGCCACGGCUAACUACGUGCCAGCAGCCGCGGUAAUACGUAGGUGGCAAGCGUUAUCCGGAAUUAUUGGGCGUAAAGCGCGCGUAGGCGGUUUUUUAAGUCUGAUGUGAAAGCCCACGGCUCAACCGUGGAGGGUCAUUGGAAACUGGAAAACUUGAGUGCAGAAGAGGAAAGUGGAAUUCCAUGUGUAGCGGUGAAAUGCGCAGAGAUAUGGAGGAACACCAGUGGCGAAGGCGACUUUCUGGUCUGUAACUGACGCUGAUGUGCGAAAGCGUGGGGAUCAAACAGGAUUAGAUACCCUGGUAGUCCACGCCGUAAACGAUGAGUGCUAAGUGUUAGGGGGUUUCCGCCCCUUAGUGCUGCAGCUAACGCAUUAAGCACUCCGCCUGGGGAGUACGACCGCAAGGUUGAAACUCAAAGGAAUUGACGGGGACCCGCACAAGCGGUGGAGCACGUGGUUUAAUUCGAAGCAACGCGAAGAACCUUACCAAAUCUUGACAUCCUUUGACAACUCUAGAGAUAGAGCUUUCCCCUUCGGGGGACAAAGUGACAGGUGGUGCAUGGUUGUCGUCAGCUCGUGUCGUGAGAUGUUGGGUUAAGUCCCGCAACGAGCGCAACCCUUAAGCUUAGUUGCCAUCAUUAAGUUGGGCACUCUAAGUUGACUGCCGGUGACAAACCGGAGGAAGGUGGGGAUGACGUCAAAUCAUCAUGCCCCUUAUGAUUUGGGCUACACACGUGCUACAAUGGACAAUACAAAGGGCAGCGAAACCGCGAGGUCAAGCAAAUCCCAUAAAGUUGUUCUCAGUUCGGAUUGUAGUCUGCAACUCGACUACAUGAAGCUGGAAUCGCUAGUAAUCGUAGAUCAGCAUGCUACGGUGAAUACGUUCCCGGGUCUUGUACACACCGCCCGUCACACCACGAGAGUUUGUAACACCCGAAGCCGGUGGAGUAACCUUUUAGGAGCUAGCCGUCGAA
rnacentral:rRNA from 1 species